GACGAACGCUGGCGGCGUGCUUAACACAUGCAAGUCGAACGGAAAGGCCUGCUUUCCCUUGUGGAUUGCGGGUACUCGAGUGGCGAACGGGUGAGUAACACGUGAGUGAUCUGCCCCCAACUUGGGUAUAAGCCUGGGAAACUGGGUCUAAUUCCCGAUAGGACUGCAGGGUGGUGCCUGUGGUGGAAAACGAUUUUCUAGUGGUUGGGGAUGAGCUCGCGGCCUAUCAGCUUGUUGGUGGGGUAAUGGCCUACCAAGGCGGCGACGGGUAGCCGGCCUGAGAGGGUGGACGGCGACAUUGGGACUGGGAUACGGCCCAGACUCCUGCGGGAGGCAGCAGUGGGGAGUAUUGCACAGUGAGCGGAAGCCUGAUGCAGCGACGCCGCGUGGGGGAUGACGGCGUUCGGGUUGUAAUCUCCUUUCGACCGCGAGGAAGCCACCUGGUUGGAAGGGUGGUGACGGUAGUGGUAGAAGAAGCACCGGCUAACUACGUG
rnacentral:rRNA from 1 species